rnacentral:rRNA from 1 species
ACAGUACGUGAAACCGCAUGCAGGUAAACGGGUGGCGUCAAGCUGCAAGCCCAGAGGAUUCAGCUGGCUAGGAUGUUGUGUAUGCGCUUGCGCAUCUAUCAGUCAGAAUAAGAUGUGAUAGUCCACUGGUAAACGGUGGGCCCGGCCGCAAGGUUGGGAUAUGUGUACCGGGCGGAAGCCGGAGCAUGCUAUUCGUCUGUUGGGCUGUCUAGUCAGUGCACUUUCUCUGUGGUGAACACCACGACCGGUGGAAUUGCCAGUCUGCUGUAGUCAAGUCGUAUUCAGUCGGUUCUUGUAGCCAACUGGGUGCGAUCACAGGCAAACUCAGUAAACGGCGUAGGGGUGUUUCGGCAUCCUUGCGUGUUAUCGGCUGCUGGUUGUCAACGGGCCUGCCUGAUGAUUGUUGUAACCGUCAUUGGGUGGUCUGGUGGACUAUGGUGGUAAGAAUAACUGUGCAAGGCAUCGGAGUUCUCGGCCUCAAAUGCAUCCUGCAUACACGUUACAAGUGGAGUGGGGUGCCAUUGCAGCCUGCCUGUUGUUGGGUCUGAUUGUCGUGUCGCCUGCGCAAAGUGGGCCCGGCAGUGGCCUGAUGCGGGAUGGGUUGUGGAUGGUGCUUCCUGUGUAGGGUGCGGUGGGUCAAAUAGUCAGUGGU